rnacentral:lncRNA from 1 species
UGCAGUAAGGAGAAAUAAAGGUUGAGUGAUAUGAUAUGCUAAAACAGAUUAAAUAAAAGGRCUAGGUGUAAUAGGGAAGAAAAAAUAAGAGGGCAUGUGACAAAGGAAAAUGAUAAUACAGAGAAAAAAUAAUUAAUCUGAUGAAGAUAGAUACAAAGGUAGUUCAGUGCUAAAAGAAUAUAAGAAAAGAGUGAAAGGUAGGUUGGACAUUUCCUUCUGGAGACAAAGAGACUUCUGUAAAUAUGGCACAAGAGGAACUGUGAGACAAAUGAAAUGCAUUGAGUUUGUGAGGAAGCAUGAUGGAAAAAAAGGUUUUAGCAGCCCAGAUGUGGCCAUCUUCUUCAGGAUGAAGGGCCACUUUCAUUCCCAGGUGGAUGUGAAGGGUUGAAGCAGCUGUGUGCGUGAGGUACUGCACCYGGCUCAAUAGUCCCUAAGAGUGUCAGCCUUGUUCUACAGCACAUAAGUGASCUCGUCUCCUUUCCCUUUCUGCGCAGUAAUACCGCUGUCUAGGUGGGUGUCUGUUUGUCCUCCUGACUGGAUAUA